GAUUUCUGGAAGAACUCUACAACUCAAAGCAAAUGAGUUAUAAAGUACGUAUAUGGUUUAUUUCAGCGCUGGGCACAUGGCAGGAUAGCUCCCAAAGGCAUGUGCGCCCCAACAUGGCAACUUGCCUUGGUUCUAUGCAGUAAAGAGUUACAUAUGCAUGAAGUUUCCCAAUAUGCCUAUGCAUACGCAUAACCUAUCCCUGCUUUGUAUUAAAAUUAGCUGCAAGUCAGUUCCAUAAACUCCUGUCUGUGCUUGCGCAGUGCCUUCUGGUGGUGGUUGUCAGGGGGGUUGUGUGGAUGAAAGCUGAUAACUUCUUCAUCACCAGUUGCUGACUCAGCUGCUCCUUGGUUCUUGUCCAAAUCACAAAGUUGGUCUCAGCUGGUUUUAUGAGACAGGUUCCCCAUUUUUGUCAGGAAACUGUCCUCUGUCAGGGGCUUCGACACUCCUUGUUUCGGUUAAUUUGUACAGUAGUAAGCUAAGACACCCAACAUCUAUUUUAAUGCGGUUAAGCAAGCCCCCAUUCUUACAUUCCUGGCUUUAAUAAUGAUUGUUUUAUUUAGAAAUCGUUAAUGUGAUUAAACAAGCCCCCAUUGUUCUAUCCCUGGCUUCAGUGGCACCCUCUGGGUCAGGCUGAUCACCACACAACACAGCUCAGGCGGCUUCUCUGUGCCAAGAUGGCUGUCAGUCACACCCCAAAGCUGGUGUGGUGAAACUGAAAAGAAACCACUCUCUUCAGGUUCCUUCCUAAAAGCGAAAUGUUUAUUAAUUCUCUAAGUUUGCAAAAGAAGACCACAUCCAUCUGAAGCUUGCUUAUGUGGAAGCAGAGCUGGCCAGGCCAAGACAGCUUGAGAGGAGCUUCCCAUGGCCUCAGGGGUGAUGAGCACUGCUUGUUGCAGCUGAGGAGGCUGCAUCAGCAACACCAACCUGGGAAGUGGGGACCUGCCUGGAGCGAUGCGGUGAGGCAUUCUGAAAGGAGCAUUAAUCUUGCCUGGAAGGGCCGACCUGCUGGCAGCCGAUUCAUCAGCAACACUCCCUGGAAGCUGCUGGCCCACACUUUCUGUCAGUGGUGGGUGGCAAGGUCAUUUCCAUGGAGCUACUGA
rnacentral:lncRNA from 1 species